rnacentral:rRNA from 1 species
UACGUAGGGGGCAAGCGUUGUCCGGAAUCAUUGGGCGUAAAGCGCGUGUAGGCGGUUCGAUAAGUCUGCUGUGAAAGUCCAGGGCUCAACCCUGGAAAGCCGGUGGAUACUGUCAGACUAGAGUGCGGAAGAGGCGAGUGGAAUUCCCGGUGUAGCGGUGAAAUGCGCAGAUAUCGGGAGGAACACCAAUUGCGAAGGCAGCUCGCUGGGACGUGACUGACGCUGAGACGCGAAAGCGUGGGGAGCAAACAGG